rnacentral:rRNA from 2 species
GCUCAUUAAAUCAGUUAUGAUCUACGUGACAAAUUCUUUACUACUUGGAUAACCGUGGUAAUUCUAGAGCUAAUACAUGCAAAAAAGCCCUGACUCACGAAGGGGUGCACUUAUUAGAUAAAACCAACGCGGGGUAAAACCUGUUUCGUGGUGAAUCAUAAUAAUUAAGCGGAUCGCAUGGCCUUGAGCCGGCGACGGUCCACUCGAUUUUCUGCCCUAUCAUGGUUGAGAUUGUAAGAUAGAGGCUUACAAUGCCUAUAACGGGUAACGGGGAAUUAGGGUUCGAUUCCGGAGAGGGAGCCUGAGAAACGGCUACCACAUCCAAGGAAGGCAGCAGGCGCGCAAAUUACCCAAUCCCGACACGGGGAGGUAGUGACAAUACAUAACAAUGCAGGGCCUUUACGGUCUUGCAAUUGGAAUGAGUACAAUUUAAAUCCCUUAACGAGGAUCAAUUGGAGGGCAAGUCUGGUGCCAGCAGCCGCGGUAAUUCCAGCUCCAAUAGCGUAUAUUAAAGUUGUUGCAGUUAAAACGUCCGUAGUCAAACUUUAGUCUUACCGGCGCGGUGGCCUGGUCUUCAUUGAUCAAGCUCGCUGUCGCUGGAGACUCCACGUCCGCUGGCUCCUAGUCCUCGUGGCUAGGGUUUUGUGGACAAUUACCAUGAGCAAAUCAGAGUGUUUAAAGCAGGCUUUUAAGCUUGAAUGUGUUAGCAUGGAAUAAUGAAAUAUGACUUUAGUCCUAUUUUCGUUGGUUUAGGUACUAUAGUAAUGAUUAAUAGAAACGGUUGGGGGCAUUUGUAUUUGGCCGCUAGAGGUGAAAUUCUUGGAUUGGCCGAAGACAAACUACUGCGAAAGCAUUUGACCCAGGACGUUUUCAUUGAUCAAGGUCUAAAGUUAAGGGAUCGAAGACGAUUAGAUACCGUCGUAGUCUUAACCACAAACUAUGCCGACUAGAGAUUGGGCGUGUUUCUUUUGACUCGCUCAGCAUCUUAGCGAAAGUAAAGUUUUUGGGUUCUGGGGGGAGUAUGGGACGCAAGGCU